rnacentral:rRNA from 1 species
UACGGGGGGAGCAAGCGUUGUUCGGAAUUACUGGGCGUAAAGGGCGCGUAGGCGGCCUGCUAAGUCGAACGUGAAAUCCCUGGGCUCAACCCAGGAACUGCGUCCGAUACUGGUUGGCUUGAAUCCGGGAGAGGGAUGUGGAAUUCCUGGUGUAGCGGUGAAAUGCGUAGAUAUCAGGAGGAACACCGGUGGCGAAGGCGGCCCUCUGGACGGAUACUGACGCUGAGGCGCGAAAGCGUGGGGAUCAAACAGG